UGGCGGCGUGCCUAAUACAUGCAAGUGAACGCGACUGAUGAAUCCGUAGCUUGCUACAAUUUCAUCAGUGAGUCGCGAACGGGUGGAGUAACGCGUAGGUAACCUGCCUGGUAGCGGGGGAGUAACUAUUGGAAACGAUAGCUAAUACCGCAUAAGACAUUUACUUGCAUGGUAAGAAUGUUAAAAGAUGCAACUGCAUCACUACCAGAUGGACCUGCGUUGUAUUAGCUAGUUGGUGAGGUAACGGCUCACCAAGGCCACGAUACAUAGCCGACCUGAGAGGGUGAUCGGCCACACUGGGACUGAGACACGGCCCAGACUCCUACGGGAGGCAGCAGUAGGGAAUCUUCGGCAAUGGGGGGAACCCUGACCGAGCAACGCCGCGUGAGUGAAGAAGGUUUUCGGAUCGUAAAGCUCUGUUGUAAGAGAAGAACGCGUGUGAGAGUGGAAAGUUCACACAGUGACGGUAUCUUACCAGAAAGGGACGGCUAACUACGUG
rnacentral:rRNA from 1 species